rnacentral:lncRNA from 1 species
UGGAGAGUUGCCAUGUGAUCCCAGAGAGAGGGGUCCCACAUGUCAGGCGUCCUUGGAGUCUAGGUUCCCUGGCGUCCAGAAGACUAUGUCAGAUCCCCUGAAUAUCAAGUUAUAGGUGCUGAAAACCAUCUAAUACAGGUGCUGACUGAGAACCAAAUUGGGGUCCUAUACAAGUAUCUCGAAAGCCAAUUCCCCUCCAUCAUCUAGACUGCACAGAGACUAGAAUGACCCAGACCACAAGUUACAAGACAAAGAGACAAGGACAGAAAGUGACAGAGUUUCAACAGAAGCUGAAAUUGAGCUACAUCAUCUACAAUAGCACACAGCUUUUCUUGUCUUCAGCAUCUAGCUGAUGAACUCGGUUCUGUCAUUCAUAAUCCUAGCACAUCUGAGAGCCCCAAUCAUACCCUUCCCACCGUAUGGCAGGAAUGGAGGAAAGGACAGUCAUGCAACCCUCUGGAACCAGCUUAGUGUUUCAGUUAAUGCUUGCAGAGUGUCGUGAAUGGGAGUUAUCUUUGCUUUGUAAAAAGACU